UACGAAGGGGGCUAGCGUUGCUCGGAUUGACUGGGCGUAAAGGGCGCGUAGGCGGAUAGUACAGUCAGGCGUGAAAUUCCUGGGCUCAACCUGGGGGCUGCGUUUGAUACGUGUUGUCUGGAGUUCGGAAGAGGGUCGUGGAAUUCCCAGUGUAGAGGUGAAAUUCGUAGAUAUUGGGAAGAACACCGGUGGCGAAGGCGGCGACCUGGUCCGAUACUGACGCUGAGGCGCGAAAGCGUGGGGAGCAAACAGG
rnacentral:rRNA from 1 species